rnacentral:rRNA from 1 species
GACGAACGCUGGCGGCGUGCUUAACACAUGCAAGUCGAACGGAAAGGCCCUGCUUUUGUGGGGUGCUCGAGUGGCGAACGGGUGAGUAACACGUGAGUAACCUGCCCUUGACUUUGGGAUAACUUCAGGAAACUGGGGCUAAUACCGGAUAGGAGCUCCUGCUGCAUGGUGGGGGUUGGAAAGUUUCGGCGGUUGGGGAUGGACUCGCGGCUUAUCAGCUUGUUGGUGGGGUAGUGGCUUACCAAGGCUUUGACGGGUAGCCGGCCUGAGAGGGUGACCGGCCACAUGGGGACUGAGAUACGGCCCAGACUCCUACGGGAGGCAGCAGUGGGGAAUAUUGCACAAUGGGCGGAAGCCUGAUGCAGCAACGCCGCGUGCGGGAGGACGGCCUUCGGGUUGUAAACCGCUUUCGCCUGUGACGAAGCGUGAGUGACGGUAAUGGGGAAAGAAGCACCGGCUAACUACGU